GGGGGUUCAAUUUACCGCAGGGGGGUCAAAAUACCAUGGCUAAGUAAAAUUUUCAAAAUAUCUUUUCCAGCAUGUUUAAUACAUACACACUACUUAUUGGAGUAUUUUAACUAUGUUAAGGAGUUAGAAUAGCUAGAAUUUUUGAAAUUAAAGGUCUAUAGUAAGGGGUUCAACAUACCGCAGGGGGGUCAAAAUACCAUGGAUUUUUUUUCUUCUUCAAAAUAUCUUUUCCAGCAUGUUUAAUGCAUACAAACUACUUAUUGGAGUAUUAUUACUAUAUUAAGGAUUUAAAAUAGCUAGAUUUUUUGAAAUUUAAGGUCUAUAGUAGGUGUUCAAUAUACCAUGGUAGGGGGGUCAAAAUAAAAUGGAUUUUUUUUUCUCUUCAAAAUAUCUUUUCCAGCAUGUUAAAUGCAUAGAAACUACUUAUUGGAGUAUUAUUACUAUGUUUAGGAGUUAGAAUAGCUAGAAUUUUUAAAAUUUAAGGUCUAGGGUAGGGGGUUCAAUAUACCGCAGAGGGGGGUCAAAAUACCAUGGCUAAGUAAAAUUUCCAAAAUAUCUUUUCCAGCAUGUUAAAUACAUACAAACUACUUAUUGGAGUAUUAUAACUAUGUUUAGGAGAUAGAAUAGCUAGAAUUUUUAAAAUUUAAGGUCUAUGGUAGGGGGUUCAAUAUACCAUGG
rnacentral:lncRNA from 1 species